GUUGUCAUUUCAAUGUUAUAUUUAACUUUGCCAUUAAAGUGCGAGGUUUGGCAUGCCACAAAACCAGGUUCAACCCACCACUUUUAUUCCCCUUUAAAAGUGUCCUGUACCAAGUCAGGAAGAUGGCCAUUGUUAUAGUAUUGUUCGUUUCUGUGUGUGUUGCAUUUUAACGUUGGGUCGUUUGUGUUUUCUCUUAUUUUUGAGAAAUUGAGAUAAGACGUGGCACGGUUCUUGUCUAUCCCAAAUCCAUGUAUUUGGUUUUCAUGUUAUAUUUGUUAUUCUCGUGGUGUUUUGUCUGAUGCUUGGUCCGUUUCUGUGUGUGUUACGUUUCGGUGUUAUGUCGCUGUUCUCCUCUUAUAUUUAAUGCGUUUCCCUCGGUUUUAGUUUGUUACCCCGAUUUUGUUUUUUGUCCAUGGAUUUAUGAGUUUUGAACAGCGGUAUACUACUGUUGCCUUUAUUUAUAUUUCAUCUAUUAUCAUCAAGAGCAAACAAUAUAUCGUGCGUCUCAAUUUGAAUGAGGGUCUGUAAUGGGUGUAGGGUGAUGUCCUUCAUUUCUGUAUUCUCAAUUUGUAAAGUCAUUUUUCUCUAAUCUUUAUGUUUUAACACCUCAUUAUUUUCUAUUCUUUAUUUUAAUGUGGGGUCCGAUUUUUCUUAUUCUUUAUAUCUUUUCCCAAUCAUUCUCUAAUCUUUAUGUUUUAACCACUCAUUAUUUUUUAUUUUAUGGUCUAUUUUUUCUUAUUCUUUAUAUCUUUUGCCAAAGAUUCUCUAAUCUGUAAACCCCAUCCACACUCUCUUGUAAAGCUGAACUUAAUAUACUGAUACAUUAUUUGAAAGUAACUUACGUUAUGCGACCUUACUAAGUAUCUCCUGGUGAUGGAAGUAUGAUAUAAAAUAACACUAGCACUAGGCUACGGAAUAUAUCACAUUUUCAUAC
rnacentral:lncRNA from 1 species